UUACGGCCAUAUUGCGUUGAAAAACCGAUUCCCGUACGAUCACCGAAGUUAAGCAACGCCGAGCCUGGUCAGUUCUUAGAUGGGUGAUCGCUUCAGAAUACCAGAU